CGGAAAGUAGCGCAGUUUGGUAGCGCACUUGCUUUGGGAGCAAGGGGUCGCAGGUUCAAAUCCUGUCUUUCCGA
rnacentral:tRNA from 1 species